rnacentral:lncRNA from 10 species
UUUAAAUGAAAACAACCAAUCUGGGUAGGAAGCAACCAGGAAAAAAUAAAAUUUAGGCAGACAGUUUACAAUUUUGUACACAGACAACUUAUCAACGGAUCUUAGUUCCUUUCUCAUUCCUUUCUCUUCAUCUAAGGAAAGGUGUCCUUUCCUUGAGAAUUCUCAGAAUGCUGAUAGUUUUACAUACAUGUAGAAUUGCUUCUUGGCCUUUUGGCCAAGAUCAAGCAUGCAUACCCAUAGAAAUUUUUUUAUUAAAAAAAGAUCAAAAUGAGCACUGCUCAUUUAAAGGUUUGCAGAUGUCAUAGUAUCUUUAUACUUAUAUCAACCAAAAACAGACUUGAAGUUUUGAAGAUUAGCGAGUUCACCUAUAUAGUACAACAUGGACUCAGCACUAAGAAAACUAUAGCUUUUAAGAAUACCCGGUUCGCUGAAAAUGCAAUAUCCAAUGUUGUGUUUAUCAAAAAUUAAAUCUAAUUUUUCCAAAGAAAUAUUUUACUUGAAAGUCUUAAAAGAUCUUUUUUUGGCACAUGAAAAAAUAAUUAACUCAUAAUGUGUAUGAAUUUCUAAAAUCUGAGAUCAGUCUUUUCUUUUUCAGUGCUUGAGUUUUUGUUUUUGAGCAGAUAUGAGGAAGUAGUAGUGGAUAUCAGAACAGCAAAUAUUCAAUUUCUGAUGAGGAGGCAGCAGCCAGCGCUCGGGAUGUCCCACCCUUGAUGUUCACAGACCAGUUUGGAUUAAUAUUUUUGGUGUAAUCGACUUUACGAAAUGGUUCAUUGGAUGCACACACGUAACUCUCACCUAAAAAGCAAAAUUUGAUUUUAUUAGCAUGAUUAUCUCUAUCAUAGAAGCAUUUGGUCUAAAGAACAGAUGCUGGAAACCCAUUAAGUGAACCCUUAACCUUAGUGGGUUCACUAAAAGGGGAUGUUCACCCUUUUCCUUUGGCAUUCUCCCACCUUCCUUUCUUUUAAAUAGUCUAGAUUGGUUUUGAGAGAAUAACAAGGAUUACAGGGUGAGAAGCACUGGACCAAAUAUGUUGACCAAAUGUGCCACCUUGGAUAAUUCAUUUCUCCACAUUUUGGUCCUCAGUAUCAUUAGCAAUAAACUGAAGUGGAUGAACCAGUUGAAUUCUAAAGUACUUCCUGAUUCCCCAAACCUCCUAUUUACUAAUUAGUUUUAGAAAUCUCAUUCUGGUAGAAAUAAUUAUAUCACAACAUAUUGCUAUAAAGAAAUACAAAUAUAUUUCUUCCAAUUAUAGAUUUCAGCCCUAAUCAAAGAAUAAUCACAACAUCUUCACAUAGCUGACUCAAUUAUACUCAGGUACAAGGUCACUUAUUAAAUUAAUGAAGCACCACAAACAUUAUGGAAGAGUUCUGGCAGCUAAAAGAAAUAUACCUCAGCUACUUUUCUUCUUACAGAAUGUAAAUUUAAAAUAACUAUUGUUUAAAUAUACGCUUUUCUGUAUCUACUUAAAUAGGAGAGGACCUGAAGUAGUUAAAAUGAUGUGUUCAUUACUCAUGAAACCUUCUGCUUAAUUUUUAUUAAGUACAACAUAAGAGCUAUAUUAUUUGCCAAGUGGCUUAUUAAUUCAAUGUUUACUGAUAUUUUAAGUUCCAAAAUUUCCAAAAAUUAUAUGUUGAGAUACCACAAUUUUUCUUUUAGGAAAGUCAGAAUCACCCAAGGUUUUUAUACUCUUGACUUUUUGACAUACAAGAUAAGAGGGUUAUACUAAGGUUUUUCUAAAAAGAAUCCAUUAUUUUUUCACAUAUUCAGUAUAACACUCAUCGUUAACAAUAUUAACAUGAACCUUAAAUAUUAUAAAUACUUAAAACAGAAGUAACCCAAAUAGUGAAAGAGAAUUCCCGAGAAAAACCUAUUAAUAUCCAUAUUAUAUUUAACUAUUAUCAUAAUGUUCUUGAAAUCCUGAUUAAUGGAGAAUUGUACAGUCUCCGAAGGCACAUGAAUAAUUCAGUGACAGAUAAGGCAUACAAGAAGAUUUUAUUUUUAUUUAAUUAAUUUAUUUAUUUUGAGACAGGGUCUCUGUUGCCCAGGCUGAACUGCAGUGGCGCAAUCAUGGCUCACUGCAGCCUCAACCUCCUGGACUCAAGUGAUUCUCCCACCUCAGCCUUCCAAGUAGCUGGGAUUACAAGCACAUGCCACUAUGCCUGGCUAAAUUUUUGUGUUUUUAGUAGAGACAGCGUUUUUAUUAUGUUGCCCAGGCUGGUCUUGAACUCCUGUGUUCAAGCGAGUCACCCACCUUGACCUCCCAAAGUGCUGGGAUUAUAAGGCAUGAGCCACCAUGCCUGGCCCCAAGAAUGGCUUAAAAAGAGAAGCAAUGUCUUCUAUUUAAGGGUAUAAUUAGGGCACUGCCCAAGAUAACUGGGGAACCAAUCACAGGCUUUAACACCAUUUCUACACCAGUAAAGUGAAAUCUAGCCCAACCACCACCGUUUAGAGAUUUUUCAUCUCUGUAGGCUUAUCUAAAUCAUUUUUCACAGUAUGAUCAUCUGGGAAAAUGUCAUAUAAUUUCAAAAACAGUUAUCAAUUUAAUAAAAUAUAACUAUAACCACACAUAUGCAUUAAUGGGCAAAACAGAAUUUUGCUUUAACUUUAUAGAGAAAGUAACUCUCACAUCAAAAAGCUCUUACUAUUUUUAUCUAUCAUAAAACUUUAAUUCUAUUUUCGAUUCAAAAUAUAAGAUGGAAGAGAAAAAAGAAUCUUAGCAAAAGAAGGUAAUUUUUUUUAAAAAGGGCAGGGAUAAGUAGUAAGUCAGCUGGGGGAAAGCCUGUCCCAACAUAAAGAGUAACAAUGAAAAAAGAAACAAAACAAGAGCAGAUUUCAUAUAUCAGAUUUCCUUGGUCAACCUGUUUCUACACAGUUGACAUAUCCACAAGGAGAGAUGCUUCCUAAAUUUCUCUGCAUUUUGUUUCCUUACACAAGUUCAGAAUGUUAGAAUGAAGUAGGUAAAGGAAGCUCCUUAAUUUGCUUUUGUGCAAUUACAGAUAAAUUUUAAUUCCUUCCCAUUCUCCCUUCUUCCUUUCAUAAUGUUUCCAUUAAAAAUUUGUAGGCUGGGCAUGGUGCCUCAUGCCUGUAAUCUCAGCACUUUGGAAGGCCAAGGCAAGAGGAAUGCUUGAGGCCAGGAGUUCAAGACAGGUCUGGGCAACAUAGCAAGAUCCUGUCUCUACUAAAAAUACAAAAAUUAGCAGGACAUGGUGGCACACAUCUGUAGUCCCAGCUUCUCAGGAGGCUGAGACAGGAGGAUCACUUGAGCUCAGGAGUUCAAGGCUACAGAGAGAUAUAAUCUCACCACUGCACUUCAGUCUGGGCAACAGAGCAAGAUCCUGUCCCCAUAAAGCAAACAAACCAAACUUGUAGACUAGUUCCAUCAUAAACUUGUAUUAAAGUUUUGAGGCAGGCUGGCAAAUGCCUACAAGGUUAACAAAUGCCUACAAGAUAGGGCUCUCUACAUCCAUGGCAGACACAAAUAACAGUUCAAUAGCCUCACCCUCUUCUCUGCACCCAUGGCCCUGUUUUCUUUAAGCCUAGACAACUCAUUACAAUGUACACUGAGUGCCUACUAUGCACAAGCUCUCAUGUUAGGUGCUGACACGGUAUGAAACCCACUUUAGUAAUCUUGGCAUUCAACAUUACAGCACAUAGGUUCAGCACAUGGUUUUAGUGUUUCUGUGUACUGGCCACACAAACCCCUAAAGUAUAGAUGUCAUAUACCUUGACGACAACAGCCAUCAAGGUACCCAAGCUAGCUUGUCUUAUAAUGUCCCCAUCCAAAUCAAACAAUCUGCAGAUUGUAAUUUUGUCUCUUAUAUAGAUUUGCCUACAAGGAGAGAAUAUGCUGACAAAAGAACUUAAGAUGUUGGUUCCCUGGGCAGUUAGUUACAACUCUCGAUGUUAAUCCAUCAGGUUGAGUGCAACGGCCCAUGCCUGUAAUCCCAGCCCUUUGGGAGGCCGAAGAGGGAGGAUCCCUUGUGCCCAGGAGUUCAAGCUCAGCCUGGGCAACACAGGGAGACCAUGUCUCUACUAAAAAGAAAUCAAUAAUCAUUCUUGGUUAGAUACUAUGCACCUGCAAGAUUGAUUAGAAGCGAUUAGCCUCCCCCUACACAGAUUCUUGGUACUGUAGGGAUUCUUGUUUAAGAUUCGUGACUCCCUUGCCAACUUGUAGGUCUCCCAUUUCUUCCAUUCUCACAAGGACAUAGCUGAAAAAGUACAUCCUGCAUCCUACAGUAUUAAAUCUUAAUGUACCAAUAUAAAAAUAACAGUGUGAGAGGCCAGGCACGGUGGCUCAUGCCUGUAAUCCCAGCACUUUGGGGAGCCGAGGGAGGUGGCUCACCUGAGGUCAGGAGUUUGAGACAGCCUGGCCAACACGGUGAAACUCCGUCUCUGCUAAAAAUAUAAAAAUUAGCCGGGUGUGGUGGCGGGCGCCUGUAAUCCCAGCUACUCAGUAGGCUGAGGCAGGAAAAUCACCUGAACCCAGGAGGCAGAGAUUGCAGUUAGCCAAGACCGUGCCACUGCACUCCAGCCUGGGUGACAAGAAUGAGACUCUGCCAAAAAAAAAAAAAAAAGAAAAAGAAAAAACCCCACAGUAUGAGAGACUUUGUUAAACUCUUGCCAACGUAUGUUAAAACUGCCCUCACCAAAACAAAGUGACAGGUGCACUAAAAUCUCAGACUUCACCACUAGACAAUUCACCCAUGUAACCAUAAACCACUCGUACCCCAAAAGCUAUUGAAAUAAAAAAUUAACAAAAUAAAAAUUAGAGUUCAACUAGGACCACGCAUAUGUAUUUUUUUCAUAAGUAGAUAAAGCAGUCCCAGAACUGGGCUGACUCAUAGCUAGACUUCAAUGUUAUUACAAGCUGGUCUGUCACUCAGAGUCAAGCCAUUUUGUUCUUCUGUUAGACAUAAUCUCACAGACUAUAUCAUACGAAGUCACUCUAAGACUUUAUGAUAAAGUGACACAAAAACAAGGUCACUGUGCAAUCCACAAUACCAAACAUCCCCCUCUUGCACUAAGUGAGUGACUGCCAUUUCUUUACCACCGUAGUUUUUUCCUCAAUCUAGUCUGCCCUCCCUAUAACUAAGAUUUAUAGAGGUAUCCAAUCAUAGGAUUGUCCUGCCUUCUGACAGCACCCAAGACAGAGUGAGCCCCCGUUUCCUUAGAUCCUUCCUAAUAUUAAUCAGCCAGAGCCCAAAUGCUAUGAUAGGUUCUAACACCCUCUUACUAAGACACCACAUGGUAUCUUAUAAGGUGUGUUCUUCUUCAUUGGAACAAGUAAUAAACCCAACUUGUUCAACUACAUGUGUGUGCCCAGUGGUCUUUGGCUAAAGGGAAUUUAGAUACAUAUAUCCAUAUUCAUUCUCCUUUCCCUGCCUUCUCUCUCUUUCAAGUUCUUUGGCCAUAAAACUGUAAAAAAUUUAGGGGAAAUCAUUUUGCAAAUCCCGAUCAUAUGAGUACUAUAUACAAAGAGGGUUUUGGUUUCUGUAUAGAAAGAGGAAAAACAGAAGCAUAAGGUGGUUAUAAAACUUAACUGUUUUCAGGCAUGGUAAUGGAACAGAAAGCAUUCCUUCAAUAUCCUAUAAGACUCUUUCCAGAGGCACAGCUAUGGCUUUUUACCUUUGAUGUCCAUUCAAAGACACUUUGCAUUACUGCAUAUAUAGCAGGUUGACUCAGUGUUUACAAUUAUGUAAUACAACUUGGUUGGGUAUAUGUUUAGAAGGCCGUUAACUUUCAUCCUUACUCAACCAAAUGAACUGCCUCUUAUUCAAGAAGAAAGAGGUCAUUAAAAGCUAGGUAAUUCCAGCCAGGCACGGUAGCUCAUGCCUGUAAUCCCAGCAUUUUGGGAGGCCAAGGUGGGCAGAUCAUUUCAGGCCAGGAGUUCCAGGCCAGCCUCACCAACAUGGUAAAACCCUGUCUCUACUAAAAAAUACAAAAAUUAGCCACAAGUGGUGGUGCAUGCCUGUAAUCCCAGCUACCCGGAGGCUGAAACACUAGAAUCGCUUGAACCCAGAAGGCGGAGGUUGCAGUACCACAGCACUCCAGCCUGGGUGACAGAGUGGGCGGGACUCUGUCUCAAAAAAAAAAAAAAAAAGGCUAGAAAUUUCCAAUUUCUCACUCUCUGCAAACCUUCAUUCUUACACAUUUAUUUCCAUCUGUGCCCAUUUUUCGCACGUCCUUUUCCUUUCAGUGACAGAGUGCUCUCCUCCUAUUCAAAGUUAAAUCCCUCUAACAGGACGUGGGUCCUUCUCUCCUCCCAUGCUGAGGUUUCAGAGCCAUUCUUUCUCUCCUCUCCAGCCCUCUUUAUAGGAUUAUACACAAGUGUGUCCCACCUUAAACACAUGAACCGCCCAGCCCCACCCCAUUCACUCUACUCUACCUAAUGUGCUUUUGGCUUCCAUUCACUGCCAGUCCUCAUCUGUUUUUCCACUUCAUCGCCCACUCUUUGCUUUUAAGCCACUGGAGCAUCACUUGUGCUCCCUGGGCUCUGCUAGCUGAAAUGUGGCUCGCCCCAGUUCCCAAGUACUUCUUACCUAACUGCCAAAUGCAAAGCACAUUUUCUGUCUAAUUUCACUCAGUGUCUUCAGUGUCUUCUGAGGGCACUGGACACCAGUCCUAAUCCUCUUCAUGCAAAUCCUUUUUUCCCUAGCAUCUAUGAUCUCCCUUACCUUUACCUCACAUUUCUUAGGUUGCUCCUUCUCAGUCUGCUUUUCAGGAUCCUCUUUCCACACCCACCCAGGCAUCCCUCAUCCUCCUUAGACUUUCUCUGGGCAGCUGCAUCUUUAUCCAUGGCUUCAACCACCAUCUACACUCUGAGGAAUCAAACAUCGAUGACAUUUCUGGCCUAGAUCUUUCUCGAGUUCAACCCACUAACAGAAUAUCCCUCUCUAGAUAUCUAUGAAUAUCUCACAUGCUACAUAUCUAAAACGAAUUUCACUCUCCAUUACUGCCACCCUGAUCUCACACUCUCCUCUUCCUAAAGUCCCCAAAGUAUUGAACGGAAUAACCACUGUUCAGUCAUCUAAGCAAAAACCAAGCUUCCUUCUUCACUGCCCUUCCCCCACAUUCAACAAAAUUGGCAGAACGGUUGACUUUGGUCUAAACCCCUCUGGAAACCAACUCCUUCUACCCUGCCUUCUCUCGUUUCUUCCCGGAUUAGAGUAGUAAAGAGCCCCAUGUCUGGGCCUCACCCUCCACACAGCUGUCACAAGUUUUUAAAAAAUGUAUAUUUGAUUUUCUUGUCUCUCUACUGCCCUUAGAACAAAGGCCAAACUCUUCAGCACAUCACACACUUCCAGCCUCAUUUCCCACCACUUCCCUGCAGGUUCCUACAUUAGUGUCAUAUCAGCAUGCUUGCAAUUUCCUUUCAAACUUCUCAUACCCUCUUUAUUCUCAUUCCUUCUUAUACGCCGGAAAUAACCUUCCUCCUCUCUCCUUGUCUCUCUUCCACUGACCCUUCAAGAUUAAGCACCUCUGGCAAAGAGUUUAGUAAAGCAAUAGGAACCUUCAUACACUGAAAAGCUUUUAAAUUGGUUAAAUCACUUAGGAAAAACUGAUUGGUUCAAUCACUUAGGUUGGCAUUAUCUAGUGCUAAGUUAACAACACACAUCCAAUGACCCAGAAAUACACUCUAGGAAAACAGCCUGGAGAAACUCAUUCACAUAGACACUCUAUAUACACACACAUGUUCAUAGGAGCAUUGCUCAACAGCCAAAGAUCAGAGUCGGCCCACAUGUCCAACAAGAGAAAGGGUACACAGAUUGUGGUGAGGUCACUAAUGAACUACUACAUACUAAUGAAAAUGAACAAAUGAGAGCUAUAUGCAACAACUUGGAUGAGUUUUAUAAACAAUGGUGAGCAAAAGAUGACAAAAGAAUAUGUGUGCUAUGAUUUAAUUCAUACAGAGUUUGAAAUGGAAAAAGUAAACUAUAUCGAUUAGGGAUGCCUUCAUAGGCGGUAAAAUCAUGAAGAAAAGCAAGAGCCAGGCUGUUGUUGCCAUGGGAGAGAGAAGACUUGUAAAUGGGAAGGGACACAGGGAGAGCUUCUCAGAUGCUGGCAAUAUUCUAUUUCUUGACAUGACUAGUAGUCACAAAGAGGUUCACUUCAUAAUUCUGGCUGCGUGUGUUUUAUGAACUUUCUAUAGGUAUAUUAUAGUUGAAAAAUAAAAAUUAUGUCACUCCUCACUCUUUUUGUACUGAGCUUACAAUAUAUUAAUUUCUCAUAAUUACAAUUUAUUUGUUUCUGCUAGUGGUUCUUAGUGGAGAAUUUCUUUAAAAAUCAGGUGAUUUUGUUGCAUAAGUACAGACACCCAAGCCUCACCCCAGUUCAACUAAGCCAAUCACUGGAAAGUGAGAGUGAACUGAACAUGUGGGUAAGGUGUUUUGAUUUCACAAAUGACUCUGAAAACAGUCCCUGGUUACAAGCCACUGUCUAGACUAGAAGCUCCCUCAAAAAACUGACUGUACCUUCUUCAUAUUACCAACACCUAGUACAGGACCUGGAAUACAACAGGCACUUAAAACAUGUUUGUCAAAGUAAUGAAGAAAAUGCGUAUUUCCAAAACAGACUUACACAUUUCAUGGUUUGCAUUUGCAUUGCAUCCAGGCAAAAUAAGCACAUAGUGUUACAGUUUACUUAGAAUGACUUUGGGAGGCUCAGGGUCAGGCUCCUGAAGGGCCUCAUGCAUGGUCUGAGACACUCGUAGGUCAUGUCAGUCCAUCAAAAGUCAACUGAAGGCAUCUACGGGCACUAGCAGGAGAUGAAGACACCAAGUACCUACCAGUAUCUUUUCCAUUUCAGACCAUUAAAACACCAAGAGUCCAAGCGCACUUUGUAGUCUAAUGAAUGUGAUAUGCCUUUUAAUCAAUGGAAUAUGUAUUUACAUACUCUUUUUUAAACAGUUGAAGCACAGUAAUCUCUCUACAUUUAAAAUCUCCACUGUUAGAUAUUAACCCCUUGUCAGACAUGUUAUCUGCAAACAUUUUCUCUCAUUCUGUAGGUUGCCUUUUCACUCUGUUGAUUUGUUUCUUUUGCUGUGUAGAAGCUUUUUAGUUUGAUGUAGUCCCACUUGUCUAUUUUUACAUUUGUUGCUGGUACUUUUGGUGUGAUACUUGAGAAAUCAUUGCCAAGACUAAUGUCAUGAAACUUUUCCCUUAUGUUUUCCUUCUAGGAGUUUCAGAUCUUAUAUUUAAAUUUUUAAAUUAUUUUGAGUUGGUUUUUAUGUAUAAGGUUCCAGGUUUCAGUUUCAUUCUUAUGCAUGUGGAUAUCCAGUUUUCCCAACACCAUUUGUUGAAGAAUCUGUCCUUUCCCCAUUGUGUAUUCUUGGCAACCCUGUUGAAGAUACAGCUGACCAUACAUAUUUGAGUUUAUUUCUAAGCUCUUGGUUCUGUUACAUUGUUCCAUGUGUCUGUUUUUAUGAUAGUAUCAUAAUGUUUUAAUUACUGUGUCUUUGUAAUAUAUUUUGGAAUCAGGAAAUGUAAUGCCUUUAGUUUUGUUCUUUUUUCUCAAGAUUGAUUUGGCUAUUUGGAUAUUUUGUGGUUCUGCAUGAAUCUUAGGUUGUUUUUCUAUUUCUGUAAAAAAUGCCAUUGAGGCUGGGCGUGGUUUAUGCCUGUAAUCCCAGCACUUUGGGAGCCCAAGGUGGGUGGAUUGCUUGUGGCCAAGAUUUCGAGACUAGCCUGGCCAACAUGGCAAAACUCUGUCUCUACUAAAAAUACAAAAAUUAGCCAGGUAUGGUGGCACAAGCCUGUAAUUCCAGCUACUCGUGAGACUGAGGCACGAGAAUAGCUUAAACACAGGAGGUGGAGGUUGCAGUAAGCCAAGAUGGCACCACUGCACUCCAACCUGGGGCAACAGGGCAAGACUCCGUCUCAAUAAAUAAAUAAAUAUGUCAUUGGGAUUUUCAUAAUUGCAUUGAAUCUGUAAAUCACUUUGGGAAAUGUGGGAAUUUUAACAAUAUUAAAUCUUCCAAUUCAUGAACACAGGAU